rnacentral:tRNA from 1 species
CCUUGUGUAGCUCAAUGGGAGAGCCCCGGGAUGUGACCCCGGCGACCACGGAUCGUAACCGUGCAUAGGGAC